rnacentral:rRNA from 1 species
UAGGGAAUAUUAGUAAUGGGCGAAAGCCUGAACUAGCAACACCGCGUGUGCGAAGAAGGCCUUCGGGUUGUAAAGCACUUUUUGAGAGGAUGGGGAAGGACGGUACUCUCAGAAUAAGUCUCGGCUAACUACGUGCCAGCAGCCGCGGUAACACGUAGGGGGCAAACGUUAUCCGGAUUUACUGGGCGUAAAGCGCGUGUAGGCGGUUUGGUAAGUAGAGCGUGAAAGCUCCUGGCUCAACUGGGAGAGGUCGUUCUAAACUGCCGGACUAGAGGAUGGUAGAGGGAGGUGGAAUUCCGAGUGUGGCGGUGGAAUGCGCAGAUAUCCGGAGGAACACCAGUGGCGAAAGCGGCCUCCUGGACCACUCCUGACACUCAGACGCGAAAGCUAGGGUAGCAAACG